rnacentral:rRNA from 1 species
GACGAACGCUGGCGGCGUGCCUAAUACAUGCAAGUAGAACGCACAGUUUAUACCGUAGCUUGCUACACCAUAGACUGUGAGUUGCGAACGGGUGAGUAACGCGUAGGUAACCUGCCUGGUAGCGGGGGAUAACUAUUGGAAACGAUAGCUAAUACCGCAUAAUAUUGAUUAUUGCAUGAUAAUUAAUUGAAAGGUGCAAUUGCACCACUACCAGAUGGACCUGCGUUGUAUUAGCUAGUAGGUGAGGUAACGGCUCACCUAGGCGACGAUACAUAGCCGACCUGAGAGGGUGAUCGGCCACACUGGGACUGAGACACGGCCCAGACUCCUACGGGGGGCAGCAGUAGGGAAUCUUCGGCAAUUGACGAAAGUCUGACCGAGCAACGCCGCGUGAGUGAAGAAGGUUUUCGGAUCGUAAAGCUCUGUUGUAAGAGAAGAACGGGUGUGAGAGUGGAAAGUUCACACUGUGACGGUAUCUUACCAGAAAGGGACGGCUAACUACGUG